UGCGUGUGCGUGCUUGUGUAAGAGUGCGUGCGUGCGUGAGUGCGUGUGUGAGUGCGCGUGUGCGUGUGUGUGAGAGUGCGUGUGUGUGUGUGUGAGAGUGUGUGUGUGCACUCAUUCGGAUAUUGUGGUCGGAUAAUGAUGACAGUUUGUCAGAUUUGGGUGUUUCCACAGUUAGCCUCAGGGCCAUUGAAACCGGUUUAGAAAGCACUGAUUGUUUAAACGCACACACACACACUCUCUCUCUCUCUCUCUCUCUCUCUCUCUCUCUCUCUCUCUCUCUCUCUCACACCAGACCAUGUGAAUACACACUCAUGACUGUGGAAUGGUUUAAUUACACAAUACACUGACAUGUUGUGACCUGUGGUGUUGAUAUGCACUGCAGCUUUGUACAUGUAUCAAUGUGACUAUUAACUGUACUGUACACUAUACAACAACACUGUACGCUUACACUGUACACUACACACUAUACACUUACACUACACACUAUACACUUACACUACACACUAUACACUUACACUACAUACAGUAGUAUGCAAAAGUUCAACUGCAAAAGCAUCAUUAGAAUAAGGUGCUUCUCCACUUGCCUUUUGGGAAUUAAGCACUGUUUUUUUUUAUGGGAUUGAGAUCCUGGGAGUUGCCUGACCAGCGGAUGCAGAAUUUCAAUGCAAUGAUCUUUGAGCCACUUCAUUAUCACUCUUGCUUUGCGACAUGGUGCUCCAUCAUGCUGGAAAAUGCGCGGAUCAUCCCAAAUUGCUCCUGGUUUGUAGGGAGAAGUUCUUGCACCAUUCUUUAUUUAUGGCAGUGUUUUUGGGCAGAAAUGUGAAUGAUCCCACUUUCUUGGUUGAAAAGCAAGUCCACAUAUGGAUGGUCUCAGGAUGCUUCACUGUUGGCAUGAGACAGGACUGGUGGUAGUGUUCACCUAGUGUUCACCAUUCCUGAGCAAGCUCUUCACUAGGGGUGACCUGACUCCUCAGGAGGAGAUGGUCCUGGUGCUUGCUGGACACUCUGGGAUGUCCUGAUGCCUUCUCCGCUGCAGUCGAACAUCUCUUGAAGUUUUUGAUGAUCCGGGAAAUGCUUCUUUCAGUUGCAAUAUUCUUUUUAGCAAUUUCCUUGACGUGAGGCCAUUUUUAUGCAAAGCAAUGAUAGCUGCACGUCUUCCUUUGGAGGUAACCAUUGCUAACACGUCUUCCUUUGGAGGUAACCAUUGCUAACACGUCUUCCUUUGGAGGUAACCAUUGCUAACACGUCUUCCUUUGGAGGUAACCAUUGCUAACACGUCUUCCUUUGGAGGUAACCAUUGCUAACACGUCUUCCUUUGGAGGUAACCAUUGCUAACACGUCUUCCUUUGGAGGUAACCAUUGCUAACACAUCUUCCCUUCUUUUAUAGCAAUCAGUCUGCUCUUAAAAUCCAAUCAGCAGUGGGGUGGUAUGUGAGAACUUAACAAUUUGAAAACAAGUCAUGCAGCUGCAUUUCGGAUCAUUUGCAGAGGACGAAAUGUGUUCAGAGUCCUUAGACCUGCCAGUGGUAGUUUGCAGUAGUCCAGAGACU